GGGCAUAGCUCAGCUUCAGCCAAAGGCUGAUCCGCCACGUUUUGUGGCGGAGGUUAGAGCGCCCCGACGUAACGUCGAGGAGGUCUGAGGUUCGAAUCCUCAUGGGCCCA
rnacentral:tRNA from 1 species